UACGGGGGGGGCAAGCGUUGUUCGGAAUUACUGGGCGUAAAGGGCUCGUAGGCGGCCAACUAAGUCAGACGUGAAAUCCCUCGGCUUAACCGGGGAACUGCGUCUGAUACUGGAUGGCUUGAGUUUGGGAGAGGGAGGCGGAAUUCCAGGUGUAGCGGUGAAAUGCGUAGAUAUCUGGAGGAACACCGGUGGCGAAGGCGGCAUCCUGGACCAACACUGACGCUGAGGAGCGAAAGCCAGGGGAGCAAACGGG
rnacentral:rRNA from 1 species